AUUUGGAUUUAAAGGACUGACUUCUGGAUAAUUAUGGUGCUAUCUUGCUGCCAACGAUUCCAUGGCAAACCCUCCAGAUAAGUCCCUUCCUCUAGUUAUCAAAUUUGCCUAUUCAGUACAUCUGGCCCACAAGCCAAUUUGAUAUCAUGAUGUCUUCAAGAAAGUCUCUUUAAAAACUCUCUAAUAAUGCAAGUAUUUAAUUCCUCAAUAAUUUUAUUUCAUUAGUUUUUUCUCUUUAUUAAGAGCUAGACAUAUCAUAGAUAUAUCACUUGCUUCUGGCUUCUGAAUGUAUUUUGUUUAUCUUGGCUGUUUUUAUGUUAAAGGAAGAUAUUCAUUAACAUGGCCAAAUUAUGUUGAUCUAAAAUACCAAAAAGAUUUUGAA
rnacentral:lncRNA from 1 species